GAUGAAGAACGCAGCGAAAUGCGAUAAGUAAUGUGAAUUGCAGAAUUCAGUGAAUCAUCGAAUCUUUGAACGCACAUUGCGCCCGCCAGUAUUCUGGCGGGCAUGCCUGUCCGAGCGUCAUUUCAACCAUCAAGCCCCCGGGCUUGUGUUGGGGACCUGCGGCUGCCCGCAGGCCCUGAAAACCAGUGGCGGGCUCGCUGUCACACCGAGCGUAGUAGCAAUCACCUCGCUCAGGGCGUGUUGCGGGUUCCGGCCGUUAAACAGCCUUACAAAACCCAAGGUUGACCUCGGAUCAGGUAGGAAGACCCGCUGAACUUAAGCAUAUCAAUAAGCGGAGGA
rnacentral:misc_RNA from 1 species